rnacentral:tRNA from 1 species
GGAAGAGGUCUAGAACAAUAUAAACUGCUAAUUUAUUCCCCCUUGGUUAAAUUCCAAGGCUCAUCCG